AAGGAGCUGAACACACUAAGAGGAUACGCCAAACUAUGUUAAAAUCAAAGAACUAAAGCCACUUUGGAAAUAUUAAGUCAGUCAUUUUUAAGUCAAAUUGGACUUCUGCAUAGUCUCACCUUUGAUUGUGUUAUGCUGCUAAGCAAGUCAAGAACAAAGAAGGGAACCAAAAAAGCUUCAUCAGAGCAGAGUACAGCUGAUGAUCAACAGGUGUUUACAGCAGACAUGGCAGGCGAAUGAUGAAGGAAUGAAACGGUGCGUCCAGAAAGUUAUUCCAGGAUAUGUAACAUUCAAGUCUAUGGGCUGCCUAAAGAUGUGGAGAAGGGGCAACGGCCACUCUUGAAGGAGAUGUUAAUAGACAAACCUGGACUGGCACCUGAGGUUGACGUCGCUCACAGAGUUUGACCGGCGAAGAAAUCCGGGGACAUGGCCAUGAUGAGUCUCUACCGACUUCACGCGAGUCAAGACGACCACUCUCAUUACUUGCAAG